rnacentral:rRNA from 1 species
GACGUAGGGCGCGAGCGUUGUCCGGAUUUAUUGGGCGUAAAGAGCUCGUAGGCGGCUUGUCGCGUCGUCCGUGAAAACCUGCAGCUCAACUGCAGGCUUGCGGUCGAUACGGGCAGGCUAGAGUUCGGUAGGGGAGACUGGAAUUCCUGGUGUAGCGGUGAAAUGCGCAGAUAUCAGGAGGAACACCGGUGGCGAAGGCGCCACUCUGGGCCGAAACUGACGCUGAGGAGCGAAAGCGUGGGUAGCAAACAGG